rnacentral:rRNA from 1 species
UACAGAGGGCUCAAGCGUUGUUCGGAUUCAUUGGGCGUAAAGGGUGCGUAGGUGGCGGGGUAAGUCAGGUGUGAAAUCUCGAGGCUCAACCUCGAAACUGCACUUGAUACUGCCUUGCUAGAGUACUGGAGAGGAGAUUGGAAUUUACGGUGUAGCAGUGAAAUGCGUAGAUAUCGUAAGGAAGACCAGUGGCGAAGGCGAAUCUCUGGACAGUUACUGACACUGAGGCACGAAGGCCAGGGGAGCAAACGGG